rnacentral:rRNA from 1 species
CCUACGGGUGGCAGCAGUGAGGAAUAUUGGUCAAUGGCCGGAAGGCUGAACCAGCCAAGUCGCGUGAGGGACGACUGCCCUAUGGGUUGUAAACCUCUUUUAUGAGGGAAGAAUAAAUGCUACGUGUAGCAUGAUGCCUGUACCUUAUGAAUAAGCAUCGGCUAACUCCGUGCCAGCCGCCGCGGUAAUACGGAGGAUGCGAGCGUUAUCAGGAUUUAUUGGGUUUAAAGGGUGCGUGGGCGGUUUUUUAAGUGAGUGGUUACACGUCGGGGCUUCACCGUGAUUUGCCAUUAAUACUGGAAGACUCGAGUUCAGAAGAGGUAGGCGGAAUAAGUUAAGUAGCGGUGAAAUGCUUAGAGAUAA